rnacentral:rRNA from 1 species
AGGACGAACGCUGGCGGCGUGCCUAACACAUGCAAGUCGAACGAGAAAGUGGAGCAAUCCAUGAGUAAAGUGGCGCACGGGUGAGUAACACGUGACUAACCUACCCUUGAGUGGGGAAUAACUGAGGGAAACCUUAGCUAAUACCGCAUAAUACCUACGGGUCAAAGGAGCAAUUCGCUUAAGGAGGGGGUCGCGGCAGAUUAGCUAGUUGGCGGGGUAAUGGCCCACCAAGGCAGUGAUCUGUA